rnacentral:rRNA from 1 species
AGCGUGUGGUUUAAUUCGAUGCAACGCGAAGAACCUUACAGGGUUUGACAUGCUUAAAGUAGAAACUCGAAAGAGGGACGACCUGUAUCCAGUCAGGAGUUUUGCACAGGUGCUGCAUGGCUGUCGUCAGCUCGUGCCGUGAGGUGUUAGGUUAAGUCCUGCAACGAGCGCAACCCUCGUCGCUAGUUGUUUUCUCUAGCGAUACUGCCCGUAUAACGUGGAGGAAGGUGGGGAUGACGUCAAGUCAGCAUGGCCCUUACAUCCUGGGCUACACACACGCUACAAUGGGUGAUACAACAGGUUGCAAUAGAGUAAUCUGGAGCUAAUCCCUAAAAUCAUCCUCAGUACGGAUUGCAGGCUGAAACUGCCUGCAUGAAGUUGGAGUUGCUAGUAAACGCAGGUCAGCACACUGCGUUGAAUACGUUCCCGGGGCUU